rnacentral:rRNA from 1 species
CCUCGCGACUGCGGAGGACAUUACCGAGUGCGGGCUGCCUCCGGGCGCCCAACCUCCCACCCGUGACUACCUAACACUGUUGCUUCGGCGGGGAGCCCUCUCGGGGGCGAGCCGCCGGGGACUACUGAACUUCAUGCCUGAGAGUGAUGCAGUCUGAGUCUGAAUAUAAAAUCAGUCAAAACUUUCAACAAUGGAUCUCUUGGUUCCGGCAUCAAUGAAGAACGCAGCGAACUGCGAUGAGUAAUGUGAAUUGCAGAAUUCAGUGAAUCAUCGAGUCUUUGAACGCACAUUGCGCCCCCUGGCAUUCCGGGGGGCAUGCCUGUCCGAGCGUCAUUGCUGCCCAUCAAGCCCGGCUUGUGUGUUGGGUCGUCGUCCCCCCCGGGGGACGGGCCCGAAAGGCAGCGGCGGCACCGUGUCCGGUCCUCGAGCGUAUGGGGCUUUGUCACCCGCUCGAUUAGGGCCGGCCGGGCGCCAGCCGACGUCUCCAACCAUUUUCUUCAGGUUGACCUCGGAUCAGGUAGGGAUACCCGCUGAACUUAAGCAUAUCAUAAGGCGAAGGAA